UGCUCUGUAGUUCAGGCUGGCCUUGAACUUGGUAUAUAGCUCAGGCUAUAAUCUCUGCUCUACAUUGAGUACUGUGAGCCUGACUAUCCACUCAACUGGCCAGGAGAUCAGUCCAUCAGCUAUGCCCUAGUCAAGGAGACACAAGCCAGACGCCUUGCUAAGGACAGUGUUUCCCUCCUGGUCCUCAGCAGGGCUUCUCCACCCGCUUCACACCACACCUAAGGGACCAUCACAUCUGUGCUGGGUGUAGUGGUCCACACCUAGAACCCAUAUUCUGGGAGGCUGAGGCAGGAGGAUUGGAAAUUUGAUCCCAGCCUGCACAGUUUGGCAACGUAGCAAAACCCGAUCUCAAAAUAAAAAAGGCCGAGGUUGCAGUCCCGCGUGGAGUCUCUGGGUUCCAUCCGGUUGCCUGGAGCCAGGGUGCGCCCCGCUCCUACCCUGCAGGCAAAGGACCGCAGCCGGGUUAGGGGGCCAGGGCGAGGCACCCAGGAGUAAGAAAGGCGGAACUAAAGAAGUUCACGCUCAGGGACUGGGCUCAGGCGCUCUCCGCCGCGUCCACAAGACGACGCUCGGGGUGGAGUGCACGUUCCCGCGGUCUCUGGGGCCACCCACGUGUGGGAGGGGGGCGGGCGAGGUUGGGGCGGGAGCCAUCUGCGCAUGUGUGAAACCGGAACAUCCGGCCGCCCCUGGUAGGGCGGCGCCUGAAGGGGCGCGGCCUGAGCGAAGGGGCAGGCGCAGCGCGCAGGCGCACAUCUGGCCUAGUCUGUCGGAUCUUUGCCGCUUCGAGAAGCUCCGGGCCUCUGCCGAGCAUGAAAUACCUGCAUCUGCAAACCACACCCUGAGCUCUUAAACUGAGGCGCACACUGAGGAAGCCAGCCAAGCAAGUGUGGUUUCCAGGCCAAACACACCAAAGGAAGCAAAACACACCAAACACCGUCCAGAGGGGCAGAGCAAGCAGCAGGGGCUAUGUGAUUCCUUGGCAUCUCAGAAGGCCAGAGAGAAGACACUGUGGAGAGCUGGCCUUGUGGCUGCACUGCGGUUCUAGCUCCAGGAUGAUGUCUAAAGGUGGAGCGCUUGCACUUUGCUCCUCCUGAGGAGCCCAUGACCGAGACCACCACGCUGAGGAAGGCCGUGCUGGCUACAGGAGAGAAUCCUGGUCCUGGCGAGGUGAGCGGCCCUGAGCCACCCCAGCCCUCCAGGAAGACUGCGGGGAGCUGAGGUGAGCCGAGCGCCCCCAGCCUUGUCCAGGGGUAGAGCUGUGAGUGAGCCGGGCGUGGUGGCGCACGCCUGUAAACCCAGCACUCCGGAGGCUGAGGCAGGAGGAUUACUGCGA